rnacentral:tRNA from 1 species
GGGUGACUAGCUCAAUGGUAGAGCAGUAGACUCUUAAUCUAUUGGUUCAGGGUUCGAGCCCCUGGUCACCCA